rnacentral:lncRNA from 1 species
CCCAAAAUUAGUAAAAUUAAAGAAAUAAUAAAGAUUAGAGCAAAAAAAAAAAAAGAGACUAAAAAACUGUGCAAAAUAUCAUGUAAUAAAGAAUUUCUGUUAAAAAGAUAAACAAAAUUGACAAAUUUUUAGCUAGAAUAAGAAAAAAAACUCAAAUAAAUACAAUCAGAAAUAAAAAAGAGACCUUACAAUUAAUAUCGCAGAAAGACAAGCUAUCAUAGGAGACUGUUCUGAACAACUGUACACCAACAAAUUGGAGCCUAGAAAGAAAUGGGUAAGUUUCUGGACACAUAAACCCACUGAGAUCGAAUUAUGAAAAAAUAGAAAAUCUGAAUAGACUAAUAAUGAGCAAGGAGAAUUAAUGUUUAAUUAAAAAGCCUUUUGGGACCUAAUUAAACCAAAGGACUUCUGCACAGCAAGAUAGACUAUCAAUAUAAUAAAGAGACAACAGACUGAAUUGUAGAAAAUAUUUGCAAACUGUGCAUUCAACAAAGGUCUAACAUCUAGACUCUAUAGGAAACUUAAUAAGAAAAAAACAGAUAAACACAUUAAAAAUUGGGCAAAAGGCAUGAAGAGACACUUUUCAAAAGAAGACAUACGAGUGGCUAGCAAACAUGAAAAAAUGCUCAGCAUCAUUAAUAAUCAGAGAAAUGCAAAUCAAAAUGAAUAUGAAUUUUCACACAAGUCAAAAUGGCAAUUAUUAAAAAGUCAAAACAACAAAUGCUGGUGAGGCUGCAGAUAAAAUGGUAUAGUUAUACAAUGUAGGUGGAAAUGUAAAUUAAUUCAGCCCCUGUGGAAAGCAGUUUGAAAAUUUCUCAAGGAAUUUAAAACAGAGCUACCAUUUGACCCAUCGACUGCACUACUGGGUAUACACACAAAAGUAAAUAAAUAAUUCUGUCAAAAAGACAAAUGCACACUUGUGUUCACCAUACCAAAGACAUAAAAUCAACCUAUGUGCCCAUCAGUGGCAGACUGGAUAAAGAAAAUGUGGUACAUACACAGCAUGGAAUACUACACAGCCAUAAAAAAAGAAUGAAAUCAUGCCCUUUGUACUGUAUUGAAAAGGUACCCAAAUUGGAUACCUUUUUACAGAAGACUUAAAUUUCACCCUGUUUCUCACCAUAU